rnacentral:misc_RNA from 1 species
AGACAAAAAAUAGCUCGUCGGCGUUUCACUCGGGCAUUAUCCUUAUAUCAAACUAAUAAGCAGAAGUUUAGAUCUCUUACGCCUUUGGAUAGACGACAACAAAUGUAAGGCGGCAAUAAGAAUCCUCACCAUUCAGCACAACACUAGUAGAAAUGUAUAGAAGAACAACUAAAGAAUUAUGUACACGCCCUACAUGGAGGUGGGGAAGGAUAAACCCAUUUCCAUUGCUACCUUCAUUGCACUAAGCCCUGACAACUCUACCAAUUGACACAAUCAACUUUGGAGUUCAUCGCGCCAUGCCUAUGCAGCUAGAAGGGUAAAAUGUUGAUAGUGAUUCAUGCUUGAGCAGUUGGAAGCUUAAUCAGGGAAGAAUGUUGGCGUUACCAAUGGUGAUAGUUAUGAAAUUUUGGUGUUAACAAAGGCAUGGUAAAUAUUGUGUUUGUGUCAAAGAGAGUUUGAAUGGGUUUUGGUAGAGGUAAAGAAAGAGAAGGAAAAGGAAAGUGGAAGGAGGGAGGAGUUGAGUCUUGAUAGAAACAAAGGAAGGAGACGGGUAUGUGAGAAGACAUCAAGGCAUUAGAGAAGCACACGACCAUAUUCCACGACCGUGUGCAUGAUUGUGUGGAAAGGCGUUUUGGUCCAAAUGGGUAAACGACCAUUCCUCACAGCCAUGUACCAGGUGACUCAUCUCCAAUAAAAUACACGGUCUUUAUUUACGAUCAUGUGCAUGUUCAUGUAAUUGCUAUACUAAUCGAGUUAGCAUUGAGUUCAUGAUUUAUGGAAAACUUG